rnacentral:tRNA from 3 species
GAAGGGUUGGCCGAGUGGCCUAAGGCGCCGCGGUGCUAACGCGGAGCGGGUUCACCCCCGCCGGGAGUUCGAAUCUCCCACCCUUCGCCA